UAGGUUGGCCAAAAAGUUUGUUUGGGUUUUUCUGUAACAGCUUACAGGAAACACUGAACAAGUUUUUUGGCCAACCCAG
rnacentral:miRNA from 1 species